GACGAACGCUGGCGGCGUGCUUAACACAUGCAAGUCGAGCGGAAAGGCCUGCUUUCCCUUGUGGAUUGCGGGUACUCGAGUGGCGAACGGGUGAGUAACACGUGAGUGAUCUGCCCCCAACUUGGGUAUAAGCCUGGGAAACUGGGUCUAAUUCCCGAUAGGACUGCAGGGUGGUGCCUGUGGUGGAAAACGAUUUUCUAGUGGUUGGGGAUGAGCUCGCGGCCUAUCAGCUUGUUGGUGGGGUAAUGGCCUACCAAGGCGGCGACGGGUAGCCGGCCUGGGAGGGUGGACGGCCACAUUGGGACUGAGAUACGGCCCAGACGCCUACGGGAGGCAGCAGUGGGGAAUAUUGCACAAUGGGCGGAAGCCUGAUGCAGCGACGCCGCGUGGGGGAUGACGGCCUUCGGGUUGUAAACUCCUUUCGACCGCGAGGAAGCCACCUGGUUGGAAGGGUGGUGACGGUAGUGGUAGAAGAAGCACCGGCUAACUACGUG
rnacentral:rRNA from 1 species